UACGGGGGGAGCAAGCGUUGUUCGGAUUUACUGGGCGUAAAGGGCGCGUAGGCGGUCAGCACAAGUCAGUUGUGAAAUCUCCGGGCUUAACUCGGAAAGGUCAACUGAUACUGUGCGGCUAGAGUGCAGAAGGGGCAACUGGAAUUCUCGGUGUAGCGGUGAAAUGCGUAGAUAUCGUAAGGAAGACCAGUGGCGAAGGCGAGUUUCUGGACAGUAACUGACGCUGAGGCACGAAGGCGAGGGGAGCAAACGGG
rnacentral:rRNA from 1 species